AUUGAACGCUGGCGGCAGGCCUAACACAUGCAAGUCGGGCGAGCGGCGGACGGGUGAGUAAUGUAUGGGGCUCUGCCUGAUGGAGGGGGAUAACUACUGGAAACGGUAGCUAAUCCCGCAUACCAUCAGAUGAACCCAUAUGGGAUUAGCUAGUAGGGGAGGUAACGGCUUACCUAGGCGACGAUCCCUAGCUGGUCUGAGAGGAUGAUUGGCAACACGGGGACGGAUACACGGCCCAGACUCCUACGGGAGGGAGCUGUUGGAGAUAUGGCACAAUGGGCGAAAGCCUGAUGCAGGGACGCGGAGUGGGGGAUGAAGGUUUUCGGGUUGUAAACCUGUGUCGCUAGCGAACGGGUAGGUGGAGAAGAAGCGCCGGCUAACUACGUGCCAGCAGCCGCGGUAAUAC
rnacentral:rRNA from 1 species